AUAAGGAAUCACAAACUCUGCAUGCGUCGC
rnacentral:sRNA from 1 species